AUUUGGCUGGUGAGUCUCAAAUAGGACGAAACGCGAGUCAUGAAU
rfam:Schistosoma mansoni strain Puerto Rico chromosome 1, complete genome